rnacentral:rRNA from 1 species
UACGUAGGGGGCAAGCGUUGUCCGGAUUUAUUGGGCGUAAAGAGCGUGUAGGCGGCCAGACAGGUCCGUUGUGAAAACUGGAGGCUCAACCUCCAGCUGUCGAUGGAAACCGUUUGGCUAGAGUCCGGAAGAGGAGAGUGGAAUUCCCGGUGUAGGGGUGAAAUGCGCAGAUAUCGGGAAGAACACCCGUGGCGAAGGCGGCUCUCUGGGACGGUACUGACGCUGAGACGCGAAAGCGUGGGGAGCGAACAGG